rnacentral:rRNA from 1 species
UCGAACGGCAGCACGGNAGCUUGCUCUGGUGGCUUAGUGGCGAACGGGUGAGNAAUAUAUCGGAACGUACCCUGGAGUGGGGGAUAACGUAGCGAAAGUUACGCUAAUACCGCAUACGAUCUACGGAUGAAAGUGGGGGAUCGCAAGACCUCAUGCUCGUGGAGCGGCCGAUAUCUGAUUAGCUAGUUGGUAGGGUAAAAGCCUACCAAGGCAUCGAUCAGUAGCUGGUCUGAGAGGACGACCAGCCACACUGGAACUGAGACACGGUCCAGACUCCUACGGGAGGCAGCAGUGGGGAAUUUUGGACAAUGGGCGAAAGCCUGAUCCAGCAAUGCCGCGUGAGUGAAGAAGGCCUUCGGGUUGUAAAGCUCUUUUGUCAGGGAAGAAACGGUGAGGGCUAAUAUCUCUUGCUAAUGACGGUACCUGAAGAAUAANCACCGGCUAACUACGUGCCA